CCUACGGGAGGCUGCAGUGGGGAAUAUUGGACAAUGGGGGGAACCCUGAUCCAGCCAUGCCGCGUGUGUGAAGAAGGCCCUCGGGUUGUAAAGCACUUUCAGUGAGGAAGAACGCCUGGUGGUUAAUACCCAUCAGGAAAGACAUCACUCACAGAAGAAGCACCGGCUAACUCCGUGCCAGCAGCCGCGGUAAUACGGAGGGUGCGAGCGUUAAUCGGAAUUACUGGGCGUAAAGCGCGCGUAGGUGGCUUGAUAAGCCGGUUGUGAAAGCCCCGGGCUCAACCUGGGAACGGCAUCCGGAACUGUCAAGCUAGAGUGCAGGAGAGGAAGGUAGAAUUCCCGGUGUAGCGGUGAAAUGCGUAGAGAUCGGGAGGAAUACCAGUGGCGAAGGCGGCCUUCUGGACUGACACUGACACUGAGGUGCGAAAGCGUGGGUAGCAAACAGGAUUAGAUAUCCCUGUAGUC
rnacentral:rRNA from 1 species